rnacentral:rRNA from 1 species
GAUGAACGCUGGCGGUAUGCUUAACACAUGCAAGUCGAACGAAAGUCUUCGGAUUUUAGUGGCGGACGGGUGAGUAACGCGUGAGGAUCUGCCUAUAGGUUGGGACAACAGAUGGAAACGUCUGCUAAUACCCAAUGUGCCGAGAGGUGAAAGCUUUAGUGCCUGUAGAUGAGCUCGCGUCCGAUUAGCUAGUUGGUAAGGUAAAGGCUUACCAAGGCGACGAUCGGUAGCUGGUCUGAGAGGAUGAUCAGCCACACUGGGACUGAGACACGGCCCAGACUCCUACGGGAGGCAGCAGUGGGGAAUUUUCCGCAAUGGGCGAAAGCCUGACGGAGCAAUACCGCGUGCGGGACGAAGGCUUUUGGGUCGUAAACCGCUUUUGUUAGGGAAGAACACAAUGACGGUACCUAACGAAUCAGCAUCGGCUAACUCCGUGCCAGCAGCCGCGGUAAUACGGGGGAUGCAAGCGUUAUCCGGAAUUAUUGGGCGUAAAGCGUCCGCAGGUGGUUUAUCAAGUCUGCUGUCAAAUCGUAGGGCUUAACCCUAUAAAGGCAGUGGAAACUGAGAGACUAGAGUACGGUAGGGGUAGCGGGAAUUCCCAGUGUAGCGGUGAAAUGCGUAGAUAUUGGGAAGAACACCAGCGGCGAAGGCGCGCUACUGGGCCGAAACUGACACUCAUGGACGAAAGCUAGGGGAGCGAAAGGGAUUAGAUACCCCUGUAGUCCUAGCUGUAAACGAUGACAACUAGGUGUUGCGCG